GGGAUACAACCCAGGAGUCCUAACUUCCAGCGCCCCUGCUCUGAGCACUAGACCCCGCUCCCCUGCCAGAGCUGGGGACAGAGCCCAGCAGUCCGCUCAGGACGUGCUUUAGAGACGGGCGUUAGAUUCCCCAUGAUCCCACCAAAGUCAUGACUGCUGGUCAAACAAACACGUUGGGCACUAGUGACUCCCUGCUCUCCCGCUCUGACAGGGCUCGGAGUCCCAGCACUCGGAGGAAGGCCGAGGCGAGUCCAAGGUGAUGGUGAAGAGAGAAGCGGCUCAGAGUUUCGCUGGCUGUCGCUUCUGCUGUAACUGCUGUAGGAUGAGCGGCUGUGGGUUCUGCUGUGACUUCUGACCCCCUUUGCUCGCCACCCUGUGGGCACCGUGAGGCUCCCCAGCCUUUCCUGGGAGCACAUCGAAGCCAGCCUGGGGCUGAAUUUGCCUGGGUUCAGGGGGACGCUAACCCUCCUGCUCAGCCCCAAUAAAGUGUCUGCCUAGA